UUUAUAAUAUUAAAACGAAAUAGCAUGAGAAUACGAGCAUUAAAUUAAAAGUGAAAUAAACGAAAUUACCAAAAAUAUCUAAAACACGAGCUUGGUCGAACGGGUUACACAAAUCGAAACUCCAUUUUUUCUUUUCUUUUCUUUUUUUUCUCUUCUUUCUUGUUCUUUUUUUUUCUGGCCUGCUUCUUUUGGGCCUGGGCCUGCUGGACAUCCUGCUUUUUUUCUGCUGGGCCGUCUGCUGAUUGGGCCUGCUGCUGGACAGGCCUGCUUUAAAGCUGCUGGGCUGUUUUUUUUCUGCUGCCUUUGUUUUUCUGCUGCUCCUUUUUCUUUUUUUUUCCUGCUUUUUUUUGGGCUACUGUUUGGGCCUAAUUUGCUGCUGUGGCCCGCUAACUGCUGCCGGUUCGGGUCACGGGUCAGUCGGGCCGGUCCGGAUUCGGUUCGGUCAGACCCGAGUCGUGUCGGGUCGACCCGACUAUUCAAAAAAAUAUAUUUCUUUUUCUUUUUCUUUUUUUUUCUCUUUUUCUUUCUUCUUCUUCUUCUUCUUCCUUCUUUCCUUCUCUUUUCUUCUUCUUCUUCUCUGUUCGGCCUCCUUCGUCGCCGUCGAUGCCGCUGCUCGUGCUGCUGCCGUCACCUCCUCCGGUGGCUCGCCGAUGGUCGGCCUCUCUUCCUCCCCUCUCUUCUUUUCCUUUUCUUUUUCUUUUCUUUUUCGACACUUUUUUUUCUCUUUUUUUCUUUGAAAUUUUUCCUUUGCUUACUUUUUCUUUUUUUCUUUUUUGCUUUGACUCUUGUUUACCUUGCUAGGUGUCGGCGAUGGGAGUGCUGCGGCGGUGGGUACGGCGAUGCUGGUGCAACGGCCGGCGGUGGGCUGCUGUUUUUUGAUUUUUUUGCUCAAAGUUUUUGUUUUUUUUUUCUUUGCUUGCUGUUUUUUUUAUUUUGUGGGGGGUUUGAAAACCCUUUAAAUUGUUGAUUUUUUUUCUUUUUUGCAGGUAGCAGGUGGUUAGGGGAGAGGGAGGCCAUGCAUUAGGUCGGCUGUCGCAGUGUAGGUGCGCAACUUGCACUGUCGGAUGCCAGACGGACCAAAUUGCAAACACAGCAAAACUUCUGGGGCCAAAAUAUAAUUUUGAGAAAAUUUAGGGAUCAAAAUGUAACUUCAAAAAGUUUACGGGUCAAAAUAUAAUUUUAGGAAAGUUUAGGGUUAAAAUGUAAUCUCAAAAAUUUUAGG
rnacentral:lncRNA from 1 species